rnacentral:rRNA from 1 species
AUGAACGCUGGCGGCGUGCCUAAUACAUGCAAGUCGAGCGAACGGACGAGAGGCUUGCUUCUCUGAUGUUAGCGGCGGACGGGUGAGUAACACGUGGAUAACCUACCUAUAAGACUGGGAUAACUUCGGGAAACCGGAGCUAAUACCGGAUGAUAUUUUGAACCGCAUGGUUCAAAAGUGAAAGACGGUCUUGCUGUCACUUAUAGAUGGAUCCGCGCUGCAUUAGCUAGUUGGUAAGGUAACGGCUUACCAAGGCAACGAUGCAUAGCCGACCUGAGAGGGUGAUCGGCCACACUGGAACUGAGACACGGUCCAGACUCCUACGGGAGGCAGCAGUAGGGAAUCUUCCGCAAAGGGCGAAAGCCUGACGGAGCAACGCCGCGUGAGUGAUGAAGGUCUUCGGAUCGUAAAACUCUGUUAUUAGGGAAGAACAUAUGUGUAAGUAACUGUGCACAUCUUGACGGUACCUAAUCAGAAAGCCACGGCUAACUACGUG